GACGAACGCUGGCGGCGUGCUUAACACAUGCAAGUCGAACGGAAAGUCCCUGCCUUUCUGCGGUCCUCGAGUGGCCAACGGGUGACUAACACUUUACUACCCUGCCCUCCACUUAGGGAUAACUUCAUGACACUUGGGCUCAUACCGGAUAGGAGCUACCGCUGCAUGGUGGGGGUUCGAAAGUUUCGGCUGUUGGGGAUGGACUCGCGGCGUAUCAGCUUGAUGCGUGGGUAGUGGCUUACCAAGGCAUUGAAGGGUAGCCGGCCUGAGAGGGGGACAGGCCACAUUGGGACGGAGAUGAGGCACGGACUCCUACGGUAGGGAGGAGUGGGGAAUGGUGCACUAGGGAAGGAGGCCUAAUGCAGCAACGCCACGUGCGGGAUGACGGCAAUCGGUUUGUAAACCGAUGUCGCCUGAGACGAAGCGUGAGUGACGGUAAUGGGUAAAGAAGCACCGGCUAACUACGUG
rnacentral:rRNA from 1 species